GGUCCAAUGGUCUAGUGGUUAUGAUUUCUGUCUUACACUUGUUGUAAUCAACACAGAAGGUCUCCAGUUCGAUCCUGGAUUGGACCA
rnacentral:tRNA from 1 species